ensembl:lncRNA
UGGAAUCAUUUUAAGUUUUACAAUGCCGGUGAUUUACGACUCUUUCGCGACAGUCAACUGUGGCGUAAACUCUGGCGGGUCUCAGAGCUAGCUUAUGUGAGCCAGCAGUGACAUCUAUACAUGCAGUAGCCUUAAAAUACUGAUUAUUUAUUCUCCUGCUAGAAGAGGAGGCGAGAGCAGAGAACGAGAGUGCAGCAGUUUGGUGAAAGGAACAGGUGAAGAAGAGGUGAGCAUCCAAGAGACGAGCAAGAGGACGGUUUCAAAGCAGACAUUAUGGCACAAUAAAAGCUGUAAGAGCAGAGAUUCAUUCAUAUCUUUACUAUUUUUCUUUAGCUUCUACUCCCGCUGCUUACAAUAAAUCCGAGAUAAAGAACAAACAAGAGCAACUCACAUGGCAUUGAUUGUUUAGUUCAGUGUCACUCUGUGAUUGUUUGACAUUUCAUAUAAAUGUGACUCUAAAAUAUA